CGACCUCAGAUCAGGCAUGGUGACCCGCUGAAUUUAAGCAUAUUACUAAGUGGAGGAAAAGAAACUAACCAGGAUUCCCUCAUUAAUGGAGAGUGAAGAGGGAAGAGCCCAGUGUUGAAUCUCUGCCUGGGUAAUGGGUGCAGGGAAAUGUGCCAUAUGGAAUUAAACUUCCCCGACACCACCCGGGGGCCCACGUCCUUGUGAUCGAGGCUAAGCUUGCGGAUGGACUGAAGAAGGUGGUGGCCCCGGUGCAUCAGGAUCAGGUCUUCCCGGAGUGAGGUUGUUUGUGAAUGCAGCCCAAAGUGAGUAGUAAACUCCAUCUAGGCUAAACACUGGCAUGAGACCGAUAGCAGACAAGUACCGUAAGGGAAAGUUGAAAAGAACUUUGAAGAGAGAGUUCAAGAGGGCGUGAAACUGUUCAGAGGUAAAAGGGUGGGGACCACACGGUCCACCCAGAGGAUUCAAUUUGGUGGCCGCACAGGCCACCUGGGUGAGUUGAAUCCCCUCCCCCUCCAGGGGGGUUGGGGACCAUCCCUUAGCGUGCUGGCCAACAUCGGGUGCACUUCCUCUGUGGUGGUACACCAAGACCGGCUCUGGGUCAGCUGAGAAGGCCGCAUGGAAGGUGGCUCCCCUUCCUGGAGGGGAGUGUUACAGCCCAUGACAUCAGCCCUCACUAUGCCCCGGGUUGUGGGAAAUGACAGCCGCCACAACCACACCCAACCUUGUGGUGGGGGCCGGGAGCCCCCAGCUCCUGGCAGGACUGUCGACUGGGCCAGACUGCCCUCAGUGUGGCCUGACCAUGUCCUACUGCUGGGCCGGUGGGCUCACCUUGGGUGCUUGGGGUCCACGGCGAUGUCGGUGACCCACCCUUCCCAUCUUGACACACAGACCAAGCAGUCUAACAGGUGCGUGAGUCUGAGGAUUGGCAGGAGACCCCAUGGCACAAUAAAAGUGAGGGCCAGCAUGCGCUAGCUGAGGUGGGAUUCCCCCUGCCAUGCACGGGAGCACACUGCCAGCCCAUCUCACCCAUCCUGUCGGGGAAGUGGAUCAUGAGCACACCUGGUGGGACCUGAAAGAUGGUGAACUUUGCCUGGGCAGGGCAAAGUCAGAGGAGACUCUGGUGGAGGUCUGUAGUACUCCUGACGUGCACAUUGGUCAUCCAACCUGGGUAUACGGGCGAAAGACUAAUCAAACCAUCUAGUAGCUGGUUCCCUCUGAAGUUUUCCUCAGGUUAGCUGGCACUCGGUGGAUGCAGUUUUAUCUGGUAAAGACAAGGAUUAGAGGUCUUGGGGCCAAAACGAUCUCAGCCAAUUCUCAAACUGUAAAUGGGUAAGAAGCCUGACUCACUGGAUUGGAGCUGGGUGUGGAAUGCGAGUGUCCAGUGGGCCAGUUUUGGUAAGCAGAACUGGCGCUGCUGGAUGAACUGAAUGCCGGGUUAAGGCACCCAAUGCCAACACUCAUCAGACCCCAGAAAAGGUGUUGGCUGAUAUAGACAGCAGAACAGUGGCCAUGGAAGUCAGAAUCUGCUAAGGAGUGUGUAACACCUCACCUGCCGAAUCAACUAGCCCUAAAGAUGGAUGGCACUGGAGUGUCGGGCCCAUACUCGGCCGUCGCCGUUACUGGGACCCAAGGAGGCUACACUGUGAUGAGUAGCAGGGCCGCCGUGGUGGCACUGAAGCCCAGGGCUAGGAGCCGGGUGGAGCCACCAUGGGUGCAGAUCUUGAUGGUAGUAGCAAAUAUUCAAAUGAGAGCUUUGAAGGCUGAAGUGGAGAAGAGUUCCAUGUGAACAGCAAUUGAGCAUGGGUCCUUCGGUCCUGAGAGAUAGGCGAGUGCCAUUCCAAAGGGAUGGGUGAUGGCCUCCGUCGCCCUCAGCUGAUCGAAAGGUAGUCGGGGUUCAGAUCCCUGAAUCUGGAGCAGCGAAUAUGGGCACCUCGGGGUCUCCAGUGCAGUGAUGCAAACAAUCCCAUAGAAGCCAGUGGGGGCCCCUGGGAAAGUUGUCUUUUCUUUUUAAAGGGCAGGGCGCCCUGGGAUGGGUUCAUCUGGAGAGAGGGGCCCGAGUCCUGGAAAGCAUUGUGGUUCUGGCCGCAUUAGGUGAGCUCUCACCAGCCCUCAAAAAUCCAGGAGAGAGGGUGUAAGUUUCACGCCAGGCCUUACCCAUAUCUGCAGCAGGUCUCCAAGCUGAACAACCUCUGGCAUGUUAGAACAGUGUAGGUAAAGAAAGUUGGCAAGCCAGAUCUUUAACUUUGGGAUAAGGAUUGGCUCUAAUAGUUGGGUCGGUCAGGCUCAUGCAUGAAGUGGGGCUGGGUGCAUGCCACAUGGAUGAGGCAUCACCCCGUUGAUGCACUCUCUCUUCCCAGGGACAACAGGGGGAUGGCAGCGGCGACUCUGGAUGCACGCCGGGCCCUUCCUGUGGAUCACCGCGGUGCAUCAUCCGGCAGCUAGCAGCGGAUGUAGAACUGGUACAGACCAGGGAGUCCAACUGUUUAAUUAAAACAAAGCAUCGUGAAGGCCCGAGAUGGAUGGUGGCACAAUAUGAUUUCUUCGCAGUGCUCUGUAUGUCAAAGUGAAGAAAUUCAAUGAUGCAUGGCUAAACGGCAGGAAUAACUAUGACUCACUUAAAGUAGCCAAAUGCCUCAUCAUCUAAUUAGUGAUGUACAUGAAUGGAUGAAUGAGAUUCCCACUGUCCCUACCUACUAUCUAGUGAAACCACAGCUAAGGGAAUGGAUUUGGCAGAAUCAGUGGGGAAAGAAGAACCUGUCAAACUGAACGCUAGUCUGGCAUUGUAAAGAGACAUGAGAGAUGUAGAAUAAGUGGGAAGUUUCAGCUGCUGGUGAAAUAAAACUACUCAUCACUUUUACACUUACCCAGUAAGGUGGGGGGUGAGCCCCACUGGGUCUCUCACUUCUGGUUCCAAGCACCCAGGUGUCCAGGUGUGAUCCACUCUGUGGACAGUGUCAGGUAGGGAGUUUGACUGGGGAAGUACACCUGUCAAAGAGUAACACAGGUGUCCUUAGGUGAGCUCAGAGAGUACAGAAACCUCUCGUGGAGCAGAAAGGCAAAAGCUCGCUUGAUCUUGAUUUUCAGUAUGAAUACAGCCCGUGAAAGCAGGGUGUCAUUAUCCUUCUGGCUUUUUGGGUUUUAAGGUCAUUGAAAACAGAAAAGCACACAUUGCCACAGGUUGCUCACUUACACAGUAAAGGUUUUAAGCAGGAGGUGUCAGAAAAGUUACCACAGGGAUAACUGGCUUGUGGCGGCCAAGCAUUCAUAGCAAUGUCACUUUUUGAUCCUUCAUUGCCGGCUUUUCCUAUCAUUGUGAAGAAGAGUUCACCAAGCAUUGGAUUGUUCACCCACUAACAGGGAACAUGAGCUGGGAUUAGACCAUUGUGCGACAGGUUAGUUUUACCCUACUGAUGAUGUAUUGUUGUGAUAGUAAUCCUGCUCAGUAUGAGAGGAACCGCAGGUUCAGGCAUUUGGUGUAUGUGCUUGGCUGAGGAGCUAAUGGUGCAAAGCUACCUUCUUUGGGAAUAUGACUGAAUGCCUCUAAGUCAGAAUCCUGCCUAAACAUAACGAUACCUCAGCACUGCGGAUCUCCUGUUGGCCAGGGAUAGCUGGCCUCUAGGUCAGCAAAGAGCACUGCUCAUCACUGAGUCGGAGCAUGGAUGGAAGGGGGCCACCUCUCUCCAGCAGUGCACUGCACAUUCAUGGGGAACCGAAUGCUAAAUCAUUUGUAGAUUACCUGAUUCUGGGUCAAGGUUUCAUAUGUAGCAGAGCAGCAGAAAGCUGCGAUCUGUUGAAUGUCAGUCCUCGAGCCAAGCUUUUCU